CUUGAGCCUCGGAAAAACAGCUGGGAGAAGCCCUUUUGGUGCGCAGAGCUUAUUUAAUUCCAAUCAACAAAAUAGCUGUGGUCUAAAGUGGUCUUUAAGCAAUGUAAUUAAUCCUAUUGCAAGUCCGUGCAGAGGCAAUCUUGAGGCUACUCGCCACCGGUAAAUGAAUGCGGGAUUGCGCACAACAGGUGCCUAUAAAGUCAGGAUCCCAACUGAAGAGUGGAAGCCAGAAACCGCGGCUGAGAAAACGCGGUUCGUGUGUAUCGACGAAUGUUGGACUUUCUAGAUUUGAAGCUUUCGUGACUGCAAGGAUAUAUAUUCUUAGGUUUUUUCGGUAAAGUCACGUAGCUAGCCGCCUCAAUUCGGAGGUGCGGGGGGAGGACAAGGCCGGCCUGCAAAUCUGCCUCGAUCCCAUGAAGCUUGAACACACUCCGCGAUCAUUGACGAUGUCGAGAUUCCGCAGGACUCGAAGCACAACGGCCGACCGGAGGUGCCCCAUCGGCAGCAGCCAUGGUCAAUCCACUGCUGGAUGAAUGUCCUCGAGCCGCGGCGGAGAUGUUACCUUGACUGUAUUCAUGAACUUAUAGGACAAUGGGAGUGAGUUUGCAACGAACAGUGCAGGUGAAGGAGAGAGACUUGUCAUUUUUUCAUGAGAAAAAAAAUUGCUACUAAACUCGU